CACGCCCAACAUCCCAUCCUAAGUGUUCAAGCAUAUCAGUAAAUAUGCCCACAAAGGGGCAAUGAACCAUAGGAAACAAGCCUGGAGAUUCAACAAGAAGAAUGUUGGUAUAAGAACAAAAUCGUUCAAAAUUAGAUCAGAUCAGAUCAUCUACAUAAUAAAGGCCAGGCUUUAGAUAGUCACACUGCCAUGCGACACAUUUUCCAGACAAUAGGG
rnacentral:misc_RNA from 1 species